GCUGUUAGUUUGUGGGUUGGUGC
rnacentral:miRNA from 1 species